UAGAAGUUGACCUUCGUCCAACUCCUGCAAUAAUCCAUGCACCUGGCCUUCAUGAUUUCCCAAGCAAUACCAAAGUUAAAGCCGAUAAUCAGGCAACUUGGUACAAACAGUUUGCGAGGAACAUGGGAGGCCUGGUUGCAGAUAUGCCUUAUAAAAAUAUACAAUGGCCACCUCCUCAGCAGAAUUAAU